rnacentral:rRNA from 1 species
UACAGAGGGUGCAAGCGUUGUUCGGAAUUAUUGGGCGUAAAGCGCGUGUAGGCGGCAUUGCAAGUCGGGUGUGAAAUCCCUCGGCUUAACCGGGGAACUGCGUCUGAUACUGGAUGGCUUGAGUUUGGGAGAGGGAUGCGGAAUUCCAGGUGUAGCGGUGAAAUGCGUAGAUAUCUGGAGGAACACCGGUGGCGAAGGCGGCAUCCUGGACCAACACUGACACUGAGGAGCGAAAGCCAGGGGAGCAAACGGG